UACGGAGGGUGCGAGCGUUGUCCGGAAUCACUGGGCGUAAAGGGCGCGUAGGCGGCGCGGGGAGUCAACGGUGAAAGCUCGGCGCUCAACGCCGAGUCGGCCGUCGAUACUCCCGUGCUCGAGCACUGUAGAGGCAGGUGGAAUUCCGGGUGUAGCGGUGGAAUGCGUAGAGAUCCGGAAGAACACCGGUGGCGAAGGCGGCCUGCUGGGCAGUAGCUGACGCUGAGGCGCGACAGCGUGGGGAGCAAACCGG
rnacentral:rRNA from 1 species